rnacentral:rRNA from 1 species
UGGGGAAUAUUGGACAAUGGGCGCAAGCCUGAUCCAGCCAUGCCGCGUGUGUGAAGAAGGCCUUUUGGUUGUAAAGCACUUUAAGCGAGGAGGAGGCUACUUGGAUUAAUACUCUAGGAUAGUGGACGUUACUCGCAGAAUAAGCACCGGCUAACUCUGUGCCAGCAGCCGCGGUAAUACAGAGGGUGCGAGCGUUAAUCGGAUUUACUGGGCGUAAAGCGUGCGUAGGCGGCUUUUUAAGUCGGAUGUGAAAUCCCUGAGCUUAACUUAGGAAUUGCAUUCGAUACUGGGAAGCUAGAGUAUGGGAGAGGAUGGUAGAAUUCCAGGUGUAGCGGUGAAAUGCGUAGAGAUCGGGAGGAAUACCGAUGGCGAAGGCAGCCAUCUGGCCUAAUACUGACGCUGAGGUACGAAAGCAUGGGGAGCAAACAGG